rnacentral:rRNA from 1 species
CCUACGGGUGGCAGCAGUGAGGAAUAUUGGUCAAUGGGCGCGAGCCUGAACCAGCCAAGUCGCGUGAGGGAAGACGGUCCUAUGGAUUGUAAACCUCUUUUGUCGGGGAGCAAAAGACGCCACGCGUGGCGUUCCGCGCGUACCCUACGAAAAAGCAUCGGCUAACUCCGUGCCAGCAGCCGCGGUAAUACGGAGGAUCCGAGCGUUAUCCGGAUUUAUUGGGUUUAAGGGGUGCGCAGGGGGAUGAUAAAGUCAGCGGUAAAAUUGAGGGGCUCAACCUCAUCGAGCCGUUGAAACUGGUGUCCUUGAGUGAGCGAGAGGUAGGCGGAAUGCGUGGUGUAGCGGUGAAAUGCUUAGAUAUCACGCAGAACUCCGAUUGCGAAGGCAGCAUACUGGAGUGUAACUGACGCUCAUGCACGAAAGUGUGGGUAUCGAACAGGAUUAGAUACCCCAGUAGUC